UACAGAGGGUGCAAGCGUUGUUCGGAAUUAUUGGGCGUAAAGGGCGCGUAGGCGGCUUAACAAGUCACUUGUGAAAUCUCCGGGCUUAACUCGGAACGGCCAAGUGAAACUGUCAAGCUAGAGUGCAGAAGGGGCAAUCGGAAUUCUUGGUGUAGCGGUGAAAUGCGUAGAUAUCAAGAGGAACACCUGAGGUGAAGACGGGUUGCUGGGCUGACACUGACGCUGAGGAGCGAAAGCGUGGGGGAGCGAACAGG
rnacentral:rRNA from 1 species